UUGUGUAAGCUGAUUUCAGCCUUGGGUUUUGUGGAAGAAAAUCUGAUUCACUUCUAUUUUGAGCUUAAAAGAUGAGCUCACAUCACCUUGUACUAUUUGUAUCUAUCUCUAUUAUGGUGAAAGUUUGGGGAGGAGACAGGUACAUUGCCGUCAAGAUCAAGUCUUGGGCUGCAAGGUUUUUUGGAGUUUGAUGGCUGCAAGAGUCGAGGAAAAGGAAAGAGGAGAUAAAGGAAGAUUUUGACCAAAUCACAUCUUGAACUUUGGAUUUUUGUAAAGUAGUGGUUGUAGUAUCUCUUUGUGUGGAAGAUGUAGGAAGUGUUGAUAUGUAUAGAAGUAGGCGUGUAGUACAUGGUUAUAGCACUCUAAAUAAUUACUUGGUCUUUCUACUUUCCAACAAUUGUAGCUCACAAACUUGAAAUUUCUUGAACUUUAAUUCCAUGAGGCAGAAGAAAGACCUCACUUAAGAUUAAA